CCUACGGGUGGCUGCAGUGAGGAAUAUUGGUCAAUGGACGCAAGUCUGAACCAGCCAAGCCGCGUGAAGGACGACGGCUCUAUGAGUUGUAAACUUCUUUUGUACGAGAGUAAACUCAGCCACGUGUUGCUGUCUGAAAGUACCGUACGAAUAAGGAUCGGCUAACUCCGUGCCAGCAGCCGCGGUAAUACGGAGGAUCCGAGCGUUAUCCGGUUUUAUUGGGUUUAAAGGGUGCGUAGGGGGAUGGUUAAGUUAGAGGUAAAAUCCCGGGGCUCAACCCCGUACUGCCGUUGAAACUGGUUGUCUAGAGAGGGCGAGAGGUAUGCGGAAUGCGUGGUGUAGCGGUGAAAUGCUUAGAUAUCAUGCAGAACGCCGAUUGCGAAGGCAGCAUACCGG
rnacentral:rRNA from 1 species